rnacentral:rRNA from 1 species
GAUGAACGCUGGCGGCGUGCUUAACACAUGCAAGUCGAACGGAAAGGCUCCUGCUUGCAGGGGUACUCGAGUGGCGAACGGGUGAGUAACACGUGGGUGAUCUGCCCUGCACUUCGGGAUAAGCCUGGGAAACUGGGUCUAAUACCGGAUAGGACGAUGGUUGGAUGCCAUUGUGGAAAGUUUUUCGGUGUGGGAUGAGCUCGCGGCCUAUCAGCUUGUUGGUGGGGUAAUGGCCUACCAAGGCGUCGACGGGUAGCCGGCCUGAGAGGGUGUACGGCCACAUUGGGACUGAGAUACGGCCCAGACUCCUACGGGAGGCAGCAGUGGGGAAUAUUGCACAAUGGGCGCAAGCCUGAUGCAGCGACGCCGCGUGGGGGAUGACGGCCUUCGGGUUGUAAACUCCUUUCGCUAGGGACGAAGCGCAAGUGACGGUACCUGGAGAAGAAGCACCGGCUAACUACGUG